AACGAACGCUGGCGGCAUGCCUAACACAUGCAAGUCGAACGAGACCUUCGGGCCUAGUGGCGCAUGGGUUCGUAACGCGUGGGAAUCUGCCCUUGGGUUCGGAAUAACAGUUGGAAACGACUGCUAAUACCGGAUGAUGACGUAAGUCCAAAGAUUUAUCGCCCAAGGAUGAGCCCGCGUAGGAUUAGCUAUUUGGUGAGGUAAAGGCUCACCAAGGCGACGAUCCUUAGCUUGUCUGAGAGGAUGAUCAGCCACACUGGGACUGAGACACGGCCCAGACUCCUACGGGAGGCAGCAGUGGGGAAUAGUGGACAAUGGGCGAAAGCCUGAUCCAGCAAUGCCGCGUGAGUGAUGAAGGCCUUAGGGUUGUAAAGCUCUUUUACCCGGGAUGAUAAUGACAGUACCGGGAGAAUAAGCUCCGGCUAACUCCGUG
rnacentral:rRNA from 1 species